rnacentral:rRNA from 1 species
ACCGGCGCACGGGUGAGUAACACGUAUCCAACCUGCCGUCUACUCUUGGACAGCCUUCUGAAAGGAAGAUUAAUACAAGAUGGCAUCAUGAGUCCGCAUGUUCACAUGAUUAAAGGUAUUCCGGUAGACGAUGGGGAUGCGUUCCAUUAGAUAGUAGGCGGGGUAACGGCCCACCUAGUCUUCGAUGGAUAGGGGUUCUGAGAGGAAGGUCCCCCACAUUGGAACUGAGACACGGUCCAAACUCCUACGGGAGGCAGCAGUGAGGAAUAUUGGUCAAUGGGCGCAGGCCUGAACCAGCCAAGUAGCGUGAAGGAUGACUGCCCUAUGGGUUGUAAACUUCUUUUAUAAAGGAAUAAAGUCGGGUAUGUAUACCCGUUUGCAUGUACUUUAUGAAUAAGGAUCGGCUAACUCCGUGCCAGCAGCCGCGGUAAUACGGAGGAUCCGAGCGUUAUCCGGAUUUAUUGGGUUUAAAGGGAGCGUAGAUGGAUGUUUAAGUCAGUUGUGACAGUUUGCGGCUCACCCGUAAAAUUGCAGUUGAUACUUGGAUAUCUUGAGUGCAGUUGAGGCAGGCGGAAUUCGUGGUGUAGCGGUGAAAUGCU